GAUGAACGCUGGCGGCGUGCCUAAUACAUGCAAGUCGAGCGAAGCGGGGACGGGUGAGUAACACGUGGAUAACCUCCUAUAAGACUGGGAUAACUUCGGGAAACCGGUGCUAAACCGGCUACUUAUAGAUGGUUCCCCUCUGGAUUAGCUAGUUGGUAAGGUAACGGGUUACCAAGGCAACGUUGCCUAGCUGACCUGAGAGGAUGAUCGGCCACACUGGAACGGAGACACGGUCCAGACUCCUACGGGAGGCAGCAGUAGGGAAUCUUCGGCAAUGGGCGAAAGCCUGACGGAGCAACGCCGCGUGAGUGAUGAAGGUCUUCGGAUCGUAAAGCACUGUAAUUAGGGAAGCGGUACCUAAUGAGAAAGCCACGGCUAACUACGUGCCAGCCGCCGCGGUAAUUC
rnacentral:rRNA from 1 species